rnacentral:tRNA from 1 species
CAGAGAAUAGUUUUUAAAAUAUUAAUUUUGGAAAUUAAAGUAAAAAGGAAGCCCUUUUUUCUCUGA